AGAGUUUUGGAUUCCCNGCUCAGAACGAACGCUGGCGGCAGGCCUAACACAUGCAAGUCGAGCGCACCUUCGGGUGAGCGGCGGACGGGUUAGUAACGCGUGGGAACAUACCCUUUUCUACGGAAUAGCCUCGGGAAACUGAGAGUAAUACCGUAUAAGCCCUUCGGGGGAAAGAUUUAUCGGGAAAGGAUUGGCCCGCGUUAGAUUAGAUAGUUGGUGGGGUAAUGGCCUACCAAGUCUACGAUCUAUAGCUGGUUUUAGAGGAUGAUCAGCAACACUGGGACUGAGACACGGCCCAGACUCCUACGGGAGGCAGCAGUGGGGAAUCUUAGACAAUGGGCGCAAGCCUGAUCUAGCCAUGCCGCGUGUGUGAUGAAGGUCUUAGGAUCGUAAAGCACUUUCGCCAGGGAUGAUAAUGACANACCUGNAAAGAACCCCGNA
rnacentral:rRNA from 1 species